UUUCCGUAGGUGAACCUGCGGAAGGAUCAUUCAUAAUAAGUGUUUUACUGCACUUUUUAAAAAUAGUACUCACCUUGUGUGCAAUGUUGUGUUUCUCUUCGGAGAAACACCUACACCAACCUAUAACCUUGAACCACUUUGUCUGAAAAACUAUUAUGAAUACUUAAUUCAAAAUACAACUUUCAACAACGGAUCUCUUGGCUCUC
rnacentral:misc_RNA from 1 species